rnacentral:rRNA from 1 species
CAGAAUUCCGCGAAUCAUCGAGUCUUUGAACGCAAGUUGCGCCCGAGGCUCGACCGAGGGCAUCCCUGCCAGAGCGUCACCGCGACGCCCACCAAUCCGCUCCCCGCUGGCUGGGAGCGCGACUGAGUGAAACCGGCCAUCCGAAUGGGGGCCACGCCACCCGGGACUUGGUGUGCCUUGGGUGGGGGUGGCAGAUUGGGUUGGCUGAGAUUGGAGAGGAUUUGGCCGCCGUGGUGACACAGCCCGCGAUCAGGUGAUCCGGGUCUCAUCUUGGAACUUCUANGUGUGGUGCUGUGUCUCCCAGUUUGUUGGUACGACGAGGAUUCCAGAGCAGGUCCCGGACCCCCCCCCCGCGUCUCCCUUCCUCGCGCUCGGAGGGAGGGAGGGAGGAGGGUGCGACGUCACGCAUCAAACCUCUGAUCAGGGAAAACUACCCACUGAAUU